AGCAGCCGCGGUAAUUCCAGCUCCAAUAGCGUAUAUUAAAGUUGUUGCAGUUAAAAAGCUCGUAGUUGAAUUUCGGGAUUGACGUGAUGGUCGUGCCUUAAGGGGUAUGAACUGUUGCUGUUGAUUUCUCACCUUCUGGAGAAACUUGAUGUCCUUAAUUGGGUGUCUUGCGGAUCCAGGACCUUUACCUUGAAAAAUUAGAGUGUUUAAAGCAGGCAUUUUUGCUCGAAUACAUUAGCAUGGAAUAAUAGAAUAGGACGGCAUGGUUCUAUUUUGUUGGUUUCUAGGAUCACCGUAAUGAUUAAUAGGGAUAGUUGGGGGCAUUAGUAUUCAAUUGUCAGAGGUGAAAUUCUUGGAUUUAUUGAAGACUAACUACUGCGAAAGCAUUUGCCAAGGAUGUUUUCAUUAAUCAAGAACGAAAGUUAGGGGAUCGAAGACGAUCAGAUACCGUCGUAGUCUUAACCAUAAACUAUGCCGACUAGGAAUCAGACGAUGUUAAUUUUUAAUGUACUCGGUUU
rnacentral:misc_RNA from 1 species